UACGGGGCAAGCGGUUGUUCGGAAUUACUGGGCGUAAAGGGCUCGUAGGCGGCCAACUAAGUCAGACGUGAAAUCCCUCGGCUUAACCGGGGAACUGCGUCUGAUACUGGAUGGCUUGAGGUUGGGAGAGGGAUGCGGAAUUCCAGGUGUAGCGGUGAAAUGCGUAGAUAUCUGGAGGAACACCGGUGGCGAAAGCGACUCUCUGGACGGCAACUGACGCUAGGCACGGAAAG
rnacentral:rRNA from 1 species